UACAGAGGUGGCAAGCGUUGUUCGGAAUUACUGGGCGUAAAGCGCGUGUAGGCGGCUCUUCAAGUCAGGCGUGAAAGCCCCGGGCUCAACUCGGGAACUGCGCUUGAUACUGUCGAGCUAGAGUGUGGAAGGGGCGAUUGGAAUUCCGUGUGUAGCGGUGAAAUGCGUAGAUAUACGGAGGAACACCAGAGGCGAAGGCGGAUCGCUGGGCCAACACUGACGCUGAGAAGCGAAAGCAUGGGGAGCGAACAGG
rnacentral:rRNA from 1 species